rnacentral:rRNA from 1 species
GAUGAACGCUGGCGGCGUGCUUAACACAUGCAAGUCGAGCGAGAAGUUUUGAAAAGAUUCUUCGGAUGAAAUUUAAAAUGGAAAGCGGCGGACGGGUGGGUAACGCGUAGGCAACCUGCCCCAUACAAAGGGAUAGCAUUUGGAAACGAAUAUUAAUACCUUAUGAAACUUAACUAGUGCAUGCUAGGUAGGUCAAAGAUUUAUCGGUAUGGGAUGGGCCUGCGUCUGAUUAGCUAGUUGGUGAGGUAACGGCUCACCAAGGCGACGAUCAGUAGCCGACCUGAGAGGGUGAACGGCCACAUUGGAACUGAGACACGGUCCAAACUCCUACGGGAGGCAGCAGUGGGGAAUAUUGCACAAUGGGGGAAACCCUGAUGCAGCAACGCCGCGUGAACGAUGAAGGCCUUUGGGUCGUAAAGUUCUGUUCUAGGUGAUGAAAACUGACAGUAACCUAGGAGAAAGCCCCGGCUAACUCCGUG